CCUUUGCACAAUGCCUUUCACUUAAAUAGCAUUUGGAUUUCUUAAAAUCCACAAAGUUUAUAUUAGAGCGUCAUCCAUUAAUGCUUUGGCUAGGAGGGGGUCUAUCGCCCUGGUUGGAGUGCAGCAGUGUAAUCAUAGCUCACUGCUGCCAUGAACUUCUGGGCUCAAGCGAUCCUCCCACCUCAGCCUCCCUGUGUGCUGGGAUUAAAAGUGUGAGCCACCGUGCCUCAUCGUAAGGGUCUUAAAAGAAACCCUAUUUCAUACUUUCUUGAUGCACUUGAUAUGGAUUAUAUAAAUCUAUGGACAAAAAUGACAUCAGUACAAUGGAAUAUUGGAGUUUUCUACCAUAAUCUCUGCAUAGUGCACUGAUUUUGACAAUCACCUAUGGAUGAAAAUACAUUUGCCAGAGUCUAGGAGUUAAAUGGAAAAGUUAACAGCACACCGUUGGAGAAAAAUAUCUGGGAGUAGAUGCAUUCAAGGGAGUAAGAAGAACAAUUACCUGCAUCACCUCACCCCCAGGGUCCACUUCUUAGUGCCAAGAUAGACUCCCUUCAGCAGGCAAUUUCUCCCAUGGGGAAAAGGAGAGUAUAAUGAGUUUGCUUUCCAUAUGCUGGAUGAUGUGUGUGGAUUUUCAGUGUGUGUUUCAGAGUCUUAAAAGCUCAUGCUAGCUUGCUUAACAUACCUGCCAUAACUCAUGAUAUAGAACCCUAUGGAGAACUGUGUUGCAACAUGGAUGCAGUGCCUAUACUAAGGCACAUUGCCAAGCUGAAGACUGUCAGAGAGCAUCACUAACGGAGGACCUAGUUGUCUCACCUGUGGUGGUGGAAAGAGCACCAAGCUUGGAACCAGAGGGCCCAGGUUCGGGUCACUGUCAUCAUGUGAGCAUGGGCAGGGCCACUGUCAUAAGGACGCCUGGAAGAGUGAAGAAAGGCCUGAUUGAUCACAAGGUCCUAUCAAAUGUCAAAGCUGGCCCUGGCUGACCUCCCAUCUAUUCAGAGCUGCUUUGAUUUAAUCUCCAAACUGGCUGCUUCUCCAGGCUGUGAGUUCUAUCUGCAACCCAUGUGUCAGCAUUGAGAUAUGACCUGCUUCACGCUCCAUUCAUCUCAUUUGAAGGACGGAAAUUAAACUCGAGGGUCGAAGAGGGGAACUGCUCAAAAUACACACACACAUUAACUGAAGCCUUUUGUAGAAGAGAAUUGAAAAUUUCAAGAAGGCAAAGGUGAUGGAAGUGUCUUCAUGAGACCCUUGGGUAACAUAAAUUGGCAAAGAAUUGGAUGAUCUGGGUUCUAAGAUCUGGCCUUAAAACUAGCCAUCUAUUGACUGAGUGAAAUAUUUUGCUACAGAGUGGUAGAGGAUCACUAGGCACAACCCUCUGCUCUUGAGUUGCUAAAAGGGCCUACUUCCAGAGAUGGCCAAGAAAGUUUGGGACUCUAGCACUCAGCUGAUUUUCCUAAAGAAAAGCCCUCAGGAUGUGCUCAAAGACCUGGAUCAGGCACACUGAGGUGAUGAUGGGAGGUCAGGAAAAUGGCCAGAAUGGAACUAAGAUUUAACUUCCCAGAACACUCAUAUAUGAUUUUUCUGAAAAGUUUUUUCCGCACCUUAGCAAUAUUAACUACUUUGAAUACUCAAGUCCAGAAUAAUUACAUUUUCCUUCUUUCACAUUCUGACACUUAUAUAUAUAUCACUUAUGAGAUAUUUAAUACUACUCUUUUGAGAAUAAAUAGUUUAUUUUUAGUGUGAUGAUGUCUUUUUAAUCCAAUGAAACUGUUAGCAUCAAUAAGGACAGAGAUACUACCUUUAUUUCUGGCACACAGUUCUCUGUAUCUCGCAAACUCCAGCACAGUAUAAUCUACUCAGCAUCAGACACAUGGGAAAACACUAUCUAAACAGGAAAGCAUUGUACAAACAUUAGUAGUUGUUAUUAUGAUUAGAAUUGAUGUUUCAGGUAAUUUAAUAAUUACUCUUACUUCUGGUACAUACCCUCCUCCAGGAAUGUAAAAGCUCGUCAGUGUUUACUGGGCUUAGCAUAGAUGUCCUGAGAUCUUAGCAUUUCUAAGAUUUCAAACUGUACAAGAAUAUACAAAAGAACAUUUAUCAUGCUCUCCAUUCAGAAGGAUAAUAUUAAAAAUUAAUAAGCAUUUUAGUCUGCUGGGAUGCAACAUAAUUCAGGGGAGGGGAGGAGGUCCGUCGCUAUCUUUUUCAAGGGCAAUUCACAACAACACUUUGCAUGAUAAAUUCCUGAAGCUUGAUGUUCUCCUCACCAUUAUACAAUGUGAGUGCUGACAAGGUCUUUUAAAAAUAACAAUACUUUAUUUUAAAUUAGUUCAUCUGUUUGGGGAAAAAGGCAGCAGUGUGCACCUAUAUAGGUGUCAUAUCCUUUAGUCCCAUAAAUUUCACAACUAAAACUAUAUCUUCUUUUUUUGUUUGUUUGAAAUGGAGUCUCACUCUGUUACCCAGGCUGAAAUGCAGUGGCACAAUUUCGGCUCACUGCAGCCUCCACCUCCUGGGCUCAAGUGAUUCCCCUGCCUCAGUCUCCUGAGUAGCUGGGAUUACAGGUGGCCACCACCGCACCCAGCUAAUGUUUGUAUUUUUAGUAAAGAUGGGGUUUUACCAUGUUGGCCAAGCUGGUCUUGAACUCCUGACCUCAGGUGAACCACCUGCCUUGGCCUCCCAAAGUGCUGGGAUUACAGAAAUGAGCCACCACGCCUGGCCUAAAACUAUAUCUUAAAAAAAAUAGUUCACGUAAGAAACAAAAAUCUUAAGGAAGGAAUGACUUUACUUGUGACUUAUUGAUGAUAAAAGGAACUUGGAAACAAUUUGGAUGCCCAAUAUUAGAAAUGCUUAAAUAAAUUAUACUAGCAAGAAAACACAUUAGAAAGAUGUUAACAUUUAGCACUUUAGAGCUUAGACAAAUAUAUAGAAAAAUUUUUUUUGGAAAAGCUUAAUGCGAUAUUUGUACACAAGUAUGUGAAAUGCUAUAUAUGAAUGCUAACAUUCCCCAAAAGCAAAGACUUAUUUUACUGGGUAGGCUGUUUGCAUUGUAUAAAAAACAUGAGUUUAGAAUUAGAGCUAGAUUUAAAUUCCAGUUCUUCCAUAAGCUGUGUGACACUUGCAAAUUAUUAAUCCUCUCUGGAUAUCUAUUUCCUUAUUAGCAAGUGUGUGUGUGUGUGUGUGUGUGUGUGUGUGUGUGUGUGUGUGUGUGUUAAGCAAAGCCACUUUAAGAGUCUAGGACAUAGUAGGAGCUCAAUGCUAUUAUUUCCCUUUCCCUUUACUAAAUACCUGAGACUCCCUUGGUUUAAAAAGUUUUGUUCAAAUUGACUGACUUUUAUAGAAAUUUCAAUGUCGUUGUUUUUGACCCAUGCAAGAAUUUCUAACAGAUGAGACUCUAUUAAUUAAUGUGAUGAUUCUCCUGUAAUUGGUCAAUAAUCUUUACAUUUGAAUAGAUUUCAGAACAGUAUUAAAUAUCUUGGGUUGGAGGUUAAUUUCUAUAAACAGAAAUGUAUAUCCAACAGUGUUGCAUUUUAGCUGAUCUUGACUAUAAACGAGUGCAAUUUGUGUUCAUUUCCCAUAUAUCAUUGACACUAAAUUUUGGAACACUUACAUCUGGGUUAUGUUUGAGUAACCUUCUGGGAGUAUCUCUCCAUAGAUUUGGGAAUGAAAUAUCUCCCAAAUAUAAUGCAAUUUCAGAAUGCCUAGAAACUCACUACGUAGUAUAUAUGCGUAUUUAAAAGAAACUGGUCUCAUACAUGAUAAAAGAAGGUUAAUGCUAGACAUAAUGACUAUUGCCACUUGGUAGCAGGGGCCAGAGAGAACAGGAAAAAGAUUAAACAAGAGGAUUAAAAUUAUUUUUCAAGUAAGGCUAUACCUCUGUAUACGUGCUUAAUUACAAAAGGAAAUUAGGAGCAAGUGCAUGUAUAUUACUGCAUGUAUAAACAUAGAGUUUAAUCGGUUUGGAGUAACUUAAUGACUGCUUGCAAUAUUUCUGGCGAUUUGUUCUAAGCUUUGUGAUUUUAAAUUGGUUUCUUGAAAAUGCUGGAUAAAACAUUUGAAUUCACACAUUGCUUUAGGAAUUGAUUUGGAGAUAAUAAAAUAUAAUGAAAUGUUUC
rnacentral:lncRNA from 1 species